GAGGAAUAUUGGUCAAUGGGCGCAAGCCUGAACCAGCCAUCCCGCGUGAAGGAAGAAGGCGCUAUGCGUCGUAAACUUCUUUUCCGGGGGAAUAAAAUUUCGUACGUGUACGGAACUGAAGGUACUCUGGGAAUAAGCAUCGGCUAACUCCGUGCCAGCAGCCGCGGUACUACGGAGGAUGCGAGCGUUAUCCGGAUUUAUUGGGUUUAAAGGGUGCGUAGGCGGAAAAAUAAGUCAGUGGUGAAAACCUUCAGCUUAACUGGAGACUUGCCAUUGAUACUGUUAUUCUUGAGUAUAGUUAAGGUAGGCGGAAUGUGUAAUGUAGCGGUGAAAUGCUUAGAUAUUACACAGAACACCAAUUGCGAAGGCAGCUUACUGAGCUAUAACUGACGCUGAUGCACGAAAGCGUGGGGAGCGAAC
rnacentral:rRNA from 1 species